rnacentral:tRNA from 1 species
GGAGAUGUAGCACAAUGGAAGAGUGUUUAGCCUUUUAAGUUAAUGAUUAAGGAUUGAUACCCCGCAUCUCUA